CCCAUCUGUGUUUGUUUGCAACACGAGACAUCAGUCAAGGAGAGGAGGUCACCUAUAAUUAUGGUGACUCGGAUUGGCCGUGGAGAUGCAAGCUUCAGAAAUCUGAAGGAAAGUCUUCGGACGGGGAGCACGGUGAAGGUCCAUCUACAUCCGAGCCUUCUCAGAGUACUCAAAAGGUGUCAACAAGUAAGAGGCAAGAAAAGAGAUCUCCAGGUGCAUCAACUAGUCUGCUCAAAAGAUAUGAAAAGAUGAUAACAGUGAGCUGAUUGAGUCUGCUCAGAGGGACGAAACUGACCAGCUUGAGACCUCUGUGGAUGGCCUGAAUCCAACAUUCACACAACUUGGUCUCCUCAACUGGGUUGAAGAGAUGAUAACAGUGAGCUGAUUGAGUCUGCUCUGAGGGACGAAACUGACCAGCUUGAGACCUCUGUGGAUGGCCUGAAUCCAACAUUCACACAACUUGGUCUCCUCAACAGGGUUGAAGAGUGUCAAGCAUCACCUGGUGUGCACAACAAUAUCCUCCUUGGACAAGUAUGUUCAAUGUUUGGGACCUGUAUCCUCCAAGUGGCGUGUCUAUGAAUGCAGAGAUAAGAUAUUUCGUGGAUUGGUACAAAGUGCGUCUUGGGGUAUUAGGUCGGUAUAUUUGCUGUGUUCAAAUGUACAAACCAUUCUAUAAUGAAACACUUAUGACAAAUAAUCCUUAAUUCACAGCAUAGGAUGCUAUAUCAACUAUUUCCAAAAUUGUGAAGUGUAAGUAUAUCAUUGAAAUUACUUAAGUGUUUUAUUUUUGCCUUAUUGGUACUGACAAGAUCUCUUAUGGUUUAAUGCUAGAGGUUCUUUUCCAAUACACCAGCUGUUACACUUAAAAGUGUAAACAUGGGCAACAAUU